UACGUAGGGGGCAAGCGUUGUCCGGAUUUACUGGGCGUAAAGAGCGUGUAGGCGGCCAAGCAGGUCCGUUGUGAAAACUGGAGGCUUAACCUCCAGACGUCGACGGAAACCGCGCGGCUAGAGUCCGGAAGAGGAGAGUGGAAUUCAUGGUGUAGCAGUGAAAUGCGUAGAGAUCAUGAGGAAGACCAGUGGCGAAGGCGGGUCUCUGGACAGUUCCUGACACUGAGACACGAAGGCCAGGGGAGCAAACGGG
rnacentral:rRNA from 1 species